UCUGCCAAUUUUAACCAUUUUUGUUUUUUUGUUUGGCAGAAAUAGAAGCGCAAAGCAAGAAAAAUCGAGACGCCUCGCUGAGUGUUUACUGUCAAUCUCUUUUGCUUUUUGAUGAGUAUCAAAUCGAUGGAUCAAGAGUCAAGGUGAAAGUGAUAUUCAAUGGAAAUGGCGGUUUGUGUAUUUUGAAUUAUAGAUUGGUCAUUCGCCGAAUAUUUUGAGGAUUUGGUUGUUUCAUUUGUAUUGAUUUGUGUUUAGGUUUAAUAUGAAUUUUAACGAUAAAUGUUUAGGUUAAAUGUAAAAUGUAACUGCCUGUAAUUUCAGGGGAAACUGAAAUUCAAUGGAUAUUCGCCUUAUAUUUUGAGAAUUUGGCUGUUUCAUUUGUAUUAAUUUGUGUUUUAACUGUCCUAUUUGGAUUAAUUUGAAUUUAAUAAUUAUGUAUCCUAUUGUAUAUUUUGUGGAUAAAUUUUGUCUUGUUAUUAACGAAUUAUGCUAAUUGGUUUCAGACUAAACUGAAGUCUAGUGGAAAUGGUGCUUUUGAUACACUGCCUGAUGAGUUGCUUAUUAAGAUGCAUUCUAAGAUGAAUGUUAAAGAGGCGAUCAAGAUGAGUGUCCUUGCGCAUAUGUGGGAACAUUUGUGUAAGGAUGCCAAGACUCUUAGGUUUGAUCUUAGGGAUGCUGAAAAGGAAAUUUUCUUUGCAAGUGUGUAUGCUGUGGUGAAGCAUCAUAAAGGUAGUAUUGAGGGCAUGACUAUCGUGCAUCAUUUGGGAGAAGAAUUUGAAGUUUACGAUCCGAGCUCUGCUAAGUGCAGUUGACAGGUUGGUCCGCUUUGCUGUUCAUAGGGAAGUGCAGAGGUUUAUGGAAAAUUUCUUUUCCUUGUCAACAUACAUUCCUAGAACAUGGCACUUUACCACCUUCAAUUGGCGGCCACCUUCCUUUUUACCAUCUGAGAGACAUCAGAUUGGUUUCUGUUAAUGUCAAAGAUGAGUUCACAAAAUACAUUCUUGAAUCGUGUCCUAGUUUGGAGGAGUUGCACAUACAUCGCUCUUUUACCAACAUAGGUAUCAAAGUUGAGGGUUUUGGAUAUAGAAAGUUGCCUUAAUCUCGAGAGUCUGGAGAUAUCGGCUGCUAAGCUUGUCUCAUUGUUAUUUUUGGGUAUCGAUGACAUUUUGGUAUUGAAUGGAGUUCCGGGUCUUCGUGAUUUACUUAUUGGUGGUGAAACCUGUAUCUCCUUUCUUUCACAGCCUAAACUGCACUCGAGUUAUUCUGCUCAGCUUGAAAAGCUCGUAUUGUAUUUCUCCCCUCGGGAAUACAGGGUACCAAAUGUUGCUUUUGAUUUUCCCCAGUUAUGCUCCCUCAAACGGCUGGAUGUGCAUGUUCACACCGAAGGCCGUCAAAGCCUCCUCUUCUUGCCAUCGUUGAUCAAGGCAUCUCCACAAUUAUGCGAGUUUGUGAUUGUGGUGAGUUUCGGCUGGAUGUGCAUGUUCACACCGAAGGCCGUCAAAGCCUACUCUUCUUGACAUCGUUGAUCAAGGCAUCUCCACAAUUAUGCGAGUUUGUGAUUGUGGUGAGUUUUCUGGCUGAUGUUUUCAACUGUUAGUGUUGAUAUGAUUUGGGAUGCUCUGCUUUCAUUCUUUUGGAGUCAACAGUGGGAUGACACUGUACUAAUCUAAUGUUUGUUGCCUUGAUCAACGAUGUGAAGAAUGAAAACUCGAGUGCAGAGCACCCCAAAUCAUAUCAACACUAAGCAGUUGAAAACAUCAGCCAUAAAACUCACCACAAUCACAAACUCGCAUAAUUGUGGAGAUGCCUUGAUCAACGAUGACAAGAAGAGGAGGCUUUGACGGCCUUCGGUGUGAACAUGCACAUCCAGCCGUUUGAGGGAGCAUAACUGGGGAAAAUCAAAAGCAACAUUUGGUACCCUGUAUUCCCGAGGGGAGAAAUACAAUACGAGCUUUUCAAGCUGAGCAGAAUAACUCGAGUGCAGUUUAGGCUGUGAAAGAAAGGAGAUACAGGUUUCACCACCAAUAAGUAAAUCACGAAGACUCGGAACUCCAUUCAAUACCAAAAUGUCAUCGAUACCCAAAAAUAACAAUGAGACAAGCUUAGCAGCCGAUUUCUCCAGACUCUCGAGAUUAAGGCAACUUUCUAUACCCAAAACCCUCAACCCUAAAAGAGCAAUGUAUGAGCAACUCCUCCAAACUAGGACACGAUUCAAGAAUGUAUUUUGUGAACUCAUCUUUGACAUUAACAUAAACCAAUCUGAUGUCUCUCAGAUGGUAAAAAGGAAGGUGGCCGCCAAUUGAAGGUGGUAAAGUGUCAUGUUCUAGGAAUGUAUGUUGACAAGGAAAAGAAAUUUUCAACAUAAACCUCUGCACUUCCCUAUGAACAGCAAAGCGGACCAACCUGUCAACUGCACUUAGCAGAGCUCGGAUCGUAAACUUCAAAUUCUUCUCCCAAAUGAUGCACGAUAGUCAUGCCCUCAAUACUACCUUUAUGAUGCUUCACCACAGCAUACACACUUGCAAAGAAAAUUUCCUUUUCAGCAUCCCUAGGAUCAAACCUAAGAGUCUUGGGCAUCCUUCCACAAAUGUUCCCACCUAUGCGCAAGGACACUCAUCUUGAUCGCUUCUUUAACAUUCAUCUCAGAAUGCAUCUUAAUAAGCAACUCAUAAGGCAGUUUAUCGAAAGUGCCAUUUCCACUAGACUUCAGUUUCCCCUGAAACUAAUUAGCAUAAUUCGUUGCCGUCAAAGCCUCCUCUUCUUCACAUCGUUGAUCAAGGCAUCUCCACAAUUAUGCGAGUUUGUGAUUGUGGUGAGUUUUCUGGCUGAUGUUUUCAACUGCUUAGUGUUGAUAUGAUUUGGGGUGCUCUGCUUUCAUUCUUUUGGAGCCUUUUCUCAAACAUCACAGGUAUACUGUAUUAGCCUCAUAGAUAAUCUGGUGCAGUGAUUAUAAUUGGAAUGAACUCUUGUAUGUUAUGUUCUCAUCUUGAGAGUGCUAUGUGUCGUUUUCAUUUUUGUCACAGGUGUUCGUGGUUGAAUUGGUAAUCCACAUCGACUCUAUCUUUACAAUUUCACUAUAGUUUUCUUUUGAAAAAUAAAUCUCAAGUAUUUUCAUCAUGACAGUGAGAUCAAGAGGGGAGGUGGGGGUUUCCUGUUAUAAGUGAUACUGUGAAAUUCGAGCAUGAUAAUCUCAAGAUGGUUAAUUUUUAUGAUUAUUAUGCUGCAAUUAUUGAACCUACUUCAUUAAUAAAUUUUUGUUGUUCAAUUA